rnacentral:rRNA from 1 species
AUUAAACGCUGGCGGCAUGCCUUACACAUGCAAGUCGAACGGCAGCACGGGGGCAACCCUGGUGGCGAGUGGCGAACGGGUGAGUAACGCAUCGGAACGUGCCCUGGAGUGGGGGAUAACGUAGCGAAAGUUACGCUAAUACCGCAUAUUCUGUGAGCAGGAAAGCAGAGGAUCGCAAGACCUUGCGCUCUGGGAGCGGCCGAUGUCGGAUUAGCUAGUUGGUGGGGUAAAGGCCUACCAAGGCGACGAUCCGUAGCGGGUCUGAGAGGAUGAUCCGCCACACUGGGACUGAGACACGGUCCAGACUCCUACGGGAGGCAGCAGUGGGGAAUUUUGGACAAUGGGGGGCAACCCUGAUCCAGCCAUGCCGCGUGAGUGAAGAAGGCCU